UACGGAGGAUGCGAGCGUUAUCCGGAUUUAUUGGGUUUAAAGGGUGCGCAGGCGGGAGAUUAAGUCGGCGGUGAAAUUUUGCAGCUCAACUGUAAAAGUGCCUUCGAAACUGGUUUUCUUGAGUGGAGUAGAGGCAAGCGGAAUUCCGAGUGUAGCGGUGAAAUGCGUAGAUAUUCGGAGGAACACCAGUGGCGAAGGCGGCUUGCUGGGCUCUAACUGACGCUGAGGCCCGAAAGCGUGGGGAGCAAACAGGAUUAGAUACCCGGGUAGUCCCUGAG
rnacentral:rRNA from 1 species